rnacentral:rRNA from 1 species
GAAACUUUAAACGGCCGCGGUAUCCUAACCGUGCAAAGGUAGCGUAAUCACUUGUCUUUUAAAUAAAGACUAGUAUGAAAGGCCAAAUGAGAACGGACCUGUCUCCUAUAGCUAACCAGUUAAACUGAUCUUCAAGUACAAAAGCUUGAAUAGACACAUAAGACGAGAAGACCCUGUGGAGCUUAAAACUAACACUAUAAAAAACCACAAAUAGCAUAAGUUUUAAGUUGGGGCGACUUCGGAACAAAAUAAAACUUCCGAGCACAGAGCCAUAACCGCUCUCACUUAGACGAACAUGUCAAAGUAAAACAUCCGACCCAGUCCUACUGAAUAACGAACCAAGUUACCCCAGGGAUAACAGCGCCAUCUUCUUCAAGAGGCCAUAUCGACAAGAAGGUUUACGACCUCGAUGUUGGAUCAGGACACCCAAACGGUGCAACAGCUGUUAAAGGUUCGUUUGUUCAACGAUCAACAGUCCUACGUGAUCUGAGUUC